GACGAACGCUGGCGGCGUGCUUAACACAUGCAAGUCGAACGGAAAGGCCCUGCUUUUGUGGGGUGCUCGAGUGGCGAACGGGUGAGUAACACGUGAGUAACCUGCCCUUGACUUUGGGAUAACUUCAGGAAACUGGGGCUAAUACCGGAUAGGAGCUCCUGCUGCAUGGUGGGGGUUGGAAAGUUUCGGCGGUUGGGGAUGGACUCGCGGCUUAUCAGCUUGUUGGUGGGGUAGUGGCUUACCAAGGCUUUGACGGAUAGCCGGCCUGAGAGGGUGACCGGCCACAUUGGGACUGAGAUACGGACCAGACUCCUACGGGAGGCAGCAGUGGGGAAUAUUGCACAAUGGGCGGAAGCCUGAUGCAGCAACGCCGCGUGCGGGAUGACGGCCUUCGGGUUGUAAACCGCUUUCGCCUGUGACGAAGCGUGAGUGACGGUAAUGGGUAAGGAAGCACCGGCUAACUACGUG
rnacentral:rRNA from 1 species